rnacentral:rRNA from 1 species
GAGAUAGCUGGUUCUCCCCGAAAUAGCUUUAGGGCUAGCCUCAGGGAAAAGAUUGCAGGCGGUAGAGCACUGAUCAGGAGAGGGACCUACCCGGUUACCAAACCCAGUCAAACUCCGAAUGGCUGCAAUCAUACCUGGGAGUCAGACUGCGACUAAUAAGGGCCGCAGUCAAAAGGGAAACAGCCCAGACCAUCAGCUAAGGUCCCCAAUGCCGUGCUAAGUGGCGAAGGAUGUGGCAUUUCAUAAACAACCAGGAUGUUGGCUCAGAAGCAGCCACCAUUUAAAGAGUGCGUAAUAGCUCACUGGUCGAGAGACGCUGCGCCGAAAAUGUCCGGGGCUCAAGCACGGAACCGAAGCUAUGGCAUGAUAGCAAUAUCAUGGGUAGGGGAGCGUUCUUAUAAGGAAGAAGCAUGACCGGAAGGACAUGUGGACAAAUAAGAAGUGAGAAUGCCGGUAUGAGUAUCGAAAAGAAAGGUGAGAAUCCUUUCCACCGAAAGCCCGAGGGUUCCUGAGCAACGAUCGUCGACUCAGGGUAAGUCGGGACCUAAGCCGAGGCGAGAAGCGUAGGCGAUGGACAACAGGUUGAAAUUCCUGUACCGGAUCAAGUCGAUUGAGCGAAGGAGCGACGCAGGAGGGCACAUGAUCGCGCGGCUGGAAGAGCGCGUCCAAGUGCGUAUGUUGCAGCAGAGGAAAACCCCUGCGGCUAAAAGCAGAGACAUGAUGGGGAGUUAAAGGAAACUUUGACGAACUCAUGGAUCCCACACUGCCAAGAAAAACUUCUAGCGAGACAAGAUCCGCCCGUACCGUAAACCGACACAGGUAGGCGGGGAGAGAAUCCUAAGGUGCGCGGGAAAACCCUCGUUAAGGAACUCGGCAAAUUGCAUCCGUAACCUAGGGAGAAGGAUGGCCCCCGGUCAGUGAAGAGCAGAAACGCUCAGAGCUAAAAGGGGCGGCAGAAAAGAGGCCCAAGCAACUGUUUACCAAAAACACAGGUGCCUGCGAAAGCGAAAGCUGAAGUAUAGGUGCUGACGCCUGCCCGGUGCCGGAAGGUUAAGGAGAGAAGUUAGCGAAAGCGAAGCAUCGAACUGAAGCCCCGGUGAACGGCGGCCGUAACUAUAACGGUCCUAAGGUAGCGAAAUUCCUUGUCGGGUAAGUUCCGACCCGCAUGAAAGGCGUAAUGAUUUGGGCACUGUCUCAACGAGGGGCCCGGUGAAAUUGAAAUACCUGUGAAGAUGCAGGUUACCCGCGACUGGACAGAAAGACCCCAUGGAGCUUCACUGCAGCUUGAGAUUGAAUCCCGGUGACAGAUGCACAGGAUAGGUGGGAGGCGCCGAAGCAUUGCCCUAGGGCGGUGCGGAGCCGAUGUUGGGAUACCACCCUUCUGUUGCUGAGAUUCUAACGCGAGGAGUAACGACCCUGCGGACCCUCUCAGGCAGGCGGUUUGACUGGGGCGGUCGCCUCCGAAAGAGUAACGGAGGCGCCCAAAGGUUCCCUCAGGCCGGACAGAAACCGGCCGAAGAGUGCAAAGGCAGAAGGGAGCUUGACUGCGAGACCAACAAGUCGAGCAGAGACGAAAGUCGGGCUUAGUGAUCCGGUGGUACUGAGUGGAAAGGCCAUCGCUCAACGGAUAAAAGCUACCCUGGGGAUAACAGGC